UACGUAGGGUGCAAGCGUUAAUCGGAAUUACUGGGCGUAAAGCGUGCGCAGGCGGUUAUGCAAGACAGAUGUGAAAUCCCCGGGCUCAACCUGGGAACUGCAUUUGUGACUACAUGGCUAGAGUACGGUAGAGGGGGAUGGAAUUCCGCGUGUAGCAGUGAAAUGCGUAGAUAUGCGGAGGAACACCGAUGGCGAAGGCAAUCCCCUGGGCCUGUACUGACGCUCAGGCACGAAAGCGUGGGGAGCAAACAGG
rnacentral:rRNA from 1 species